rnacentral:rRNA from 1 species
AGUGAACGCUGGCGGUAGGCCUAACACAUGCCAGUCGAACGGCAGCACAGUAAGAGCUUGCUCUUACGGGUGGCGAGUGGCGGACGGGAGAGGAAUACAUCGGAAUCUACUUUUUCGUGGGGGAUAACGUAGGGAAACUUACGCUAAUACCGCAUACGACCUACGGGUGAAAGCAGGGGAUCUUCGGACCUUGCGCGAUUGAAUGAGCCGAUGUCGGAUUAGCUAGUUGGCGGGGUAAAGGCCCACCAAGGCGACGAUACGUAGCUGGGCUGCGAGGAUGAUCCGCCACACUGGAGCUGAGACACGGUCCAGGCUCCUACGGGAGGCAGCAGUGGGGAAGGUUGGACAAUGGGCGCAAGCCUGAUCCAGCCAUACCGCGUGGGUGAAGAAGGCCUUCGGGUUGUAAAGCCCUUUUGUUGGGAAAGAAAAGCAGCAGGUUAAUACCCCGCUGUUCUGACGGUACCCAAAGAAUAAGCACCGGCUAACUUCGU